ACGGCUCAGUAACACGUGGAUAACAUGCCCUAAGGUGGGGGAUAAUCUCGGGAAACUGAGGAUAAUACCCCAUAGGUCUGAUCUGCUGGAAUGCUUUCAGGCCGAAAACUCCGGUGCCUUAGGAUUGGUCUGCGGUCUAUCAGGCAGUAGUGGGUGUAACGGACCCACUAGCCCGUGACGGAUAUGGGCCUUGAGAGAGGGAGCCCAGAGAUGGACUCUGAGACAUGAGUCCAGGCCCUACGGGGCGCAGCAGUCGCGAAAACUUCGCAAUGGGGGCAACCCCGACGAGGGAAUUCCAAGUGCCAGCACUUUGUGUUGGCUGUUCUCCUGUCUAAAAAACAGGAGGAGUAAGGGGCGGGUAAGACGGGUGCCAGCCGCCGCGGUAAUACCCGCGCCCCUAGUGGUGGUCGAUAUUAUUGAGCCUAAAACGUCCGUAGCCGGUCUUUUAAAUCCUUGGGUAAAUCGGGCAGCUUAACUGUCCGAAUUCCGGGGAGACUGGAAGACUUGGGACCGGGAGAGGUCAGAGGUACUUCUGGGGUAGGGGUAAAAUCCUGUAAUCCUGGAAGGACCACCGGUGGCGAAGGCGUCUGACUAGAACGGAUCCGACGGUGAGGGACGAAGCCCUGGGGCGCAAACGGGAUUAGAUACCCCGGUAGUCCAGGGUGUAAACGCUGCGGGCUUGGUGUUGGGGGUCCUUAGUGGGCGCCCAGUGCCGGAGAGAAGUUGUUAAGCCUGCUGCUUGGGGAGUAUGUCCGCAAGGACGAAACUUAAAGGAAUUGGCGGGGGAGCAC
rnacentral:rRNA from 1 species